CACGCAGGCGGUCUGCUAAGUUCGGAGUGACAGUCACCAGCUUAACUGGUGAAGGACUUUGAAAACUGGCGGACUUGAGAGCGAGAGAGGGACAUGGAAUUUCGGGUGGAGCAGUGAAAUGCGUAGAUAUCCGGAGGAACACCAAAGGCGAAGGCAGUGUCCUGGCUCGUAUCUGACGCUCAGGUGCGAAAGCUAGGGGAGCGAACGGGAUUAGAUACCCCGGUAGUCCUAGCCGUAAACGAUGACCACUAGGUGUGGGAGGUAUCGACCCCUUCCGUGCCGCAGUUAACACAGUAAGUGGUCCGCCUGGGGAGUACGGUCGCAAGACUAAA
rnacentral:rRNA from 1 species